AGCGAACGCUGGCGGCAGGCCUAACACAUGCAAGUCGAACGAACCUUUCGGGGUUAGUGGCGGACGGGUGAGUAACACGUGGGAACGUGCCUUUAGGUUCGGAAUAACUCAGGGAAACUUGUGCUAAUACCGAAUGUGCCCUUCGGGGGAAAGAUUUAUCGCCUUUAGAGCGGCCCGCGUCUGAUUAGCUAGUUGUUUGAGGUAAUGGCUCACCAAGGCGACGAUCAGUAGCUGGUCUGAGAGGAUGAUCAGCCACAUUGGGACUGAGACACGGCCCAAACUCCUACGGGAGGCAGCAGUGGGGAAUCUUGCGCAAUGGGCGAAAGCCUGACGCAGCCAUGCCGCGUGAAUGAUGAAGGUCUUAGGAUUGUAAAAUUCUUUCACCGGGGAAGAUAAUGACGGUACCCGGAGAAGAAGCCCCGGCUAACUUCGUG
rnacentral:rRNA from 1 species